GUCCACGCCGUAAACGAUGGAUACUAGUUGUUGGAUUUCGGAUUCAGUGACUAAGCGAAAGUGAUAAGUAUCCCACCUGGGGAGUACGAACGCAAGUUUGAAACUCAAAGGAAUUGACGGGGCCCGCACAAGCGGUGGAGCAUGUGGUUUAAUUCGAUGAUACGCGAGGAACCUUACCAGGGCUUAAAUGUAGAUUGACAGGCGUGGAAACAUGCUUUUCUUCGGACAAUUUACAAGGUGCUGCAUGGUUGUCGU
rnacentral:rRNA from 1 species